GACAGAGGGUGCAAACGUUUGUUCGGAAUUACUGGGCGUAAAGCGUGUGUAGGCGGCCAUGUAAGUCGGAUGUGAAAGCCCCAGGCUCAACCUGGGAAGUGCAUUCGAUACUGCGUGGCUUGAGUAUCGGAGAGGUUGGUGGAAUUCUCGGUGUAGAGGUGAAAUUCGUAGAUAUCGAGAGGAACACCGGUGGCGAAGGCGGCCAACUGGACGAAUACUGACGCUGAGACACGAAAGCGUGGGGAGCAAACAGG
rnacentral:rRNA from 1 species